UACGGAGGGUGCGAGCGUUGUCCGGAAUCACUGGGCGUAAAGGGCGCGUAGGCGGCUUCUUAAGCGUGCGGUGAAAGCUCGGGGCUCAACCCCGAGUCGGCCGUGCGAACUGGGGAGCUCGAGCACUGUAGAGGCAGGUGGAAUUCCGGGUGUAGCGGUGGAAUGCGUAGAGAUCCGGAAGAACACCGGUGGCGAAGGCGGCCUGCUGGGCAGUGGCUGACGCUGAGGCGCGACAGCGUGGGGAGCAAACAGG
rnacentral:rRNA from 1 species